AGAGUUUGAUUCUGCUCAGGACGAACGCUGGCGGCGUGCCUAAUACAUGCAAGUAGAACGCUGAAGAGAGGAGCUUGCUCUUCUUGGAUGAGUUGCGAACGGGUGAGUAACGCGUAGGUAACCUGCCUUGUAGCGGGGGAUAACUAUUGGAAACGAUAGCUAAUACCGCAUAACAAUGGGUGACUCAUGUCAUUUAUUUGAAAGGGGCAAAUGCUCCACUACAAGAUGGACCUGCGUUGUAUUAGCUAGUAGGUGAGGUAACGGCUCACCUAGGCGACGAUACAUAGCCGACCUGAGAGGGUGAUCGGCCACACUGGGACUGAGACACGGCCCAG
rnacentral:rRNA from 1 species